rnacentral:rRNA from 1 species
UACGGAGGGUGCAAGCGUUAUCCGGAUUCACUGGGUUUAAAGGGUGCGUAGGUGGGGCGGUAAGUCAGUGGUGAAAUCUCCGAGCUUAACUUGGAAACUGCCAUUGAUACUAUCAUUCUUGAAUAUUGUGGAGGUCAGCGGAAUAUGUCAUGUAGCGGUGGAAUGCUUAGAUAUGACAUAGAACACCAAUUGCGAAGGCAGCUGGCUACACAUAUAUUGACACUGAGGCACGAAAGCGUGGGGAUCAAACAGG